AUUGAACGCUGGCGGCGUGCCUAACACAUGCAAGUCGAGCGGUAACAGGUGUAGCAAUACAUGCUGACGAGCGGCGGACGGGUGAGUAACGCUUGGGAAUCUGCCUAUUAGUGGGGGACAACCCGGGGAAACUCGGGCUAAUACCGCAUACGCACUACGGUGGAAAGCCGGGGACCGCAAGGCCUGGCGCUAACAGAUGAGCCCAAGUCGGAUUAGCUAGUUGGUAGGGUAACGGCCACCAAGGCGACGAUCCGUAACUGGUCUGAGAGGACGACCAGUCACACCGGAACUGAGACACGGUCCGGACUCCUACGGGAGGCAGCAGUGGGGAAUAUUGGACAAUGGGCGAAAGCCUGAUCCAGCGACGCCGCGUGGGUGAAGAAGGCCUGCGGGUUGUAAAGCCCUUUCAGUGGGGAAGAAAAGCCUCGAGCUAACACCUCGGGGUCUUGACGUAACCAUAGAAGAAGCACCGGCUAACUCUGUGCCAGCCGCCGCUGUAAC
rnacentral:rRNA from 1 species